AAAUUAUAGAUUGGGUUACACUAUAUAAAGUGCUUUGAGUCAUUAGAGAAAAAGCGCUAUAUAAAUAUAAUUCACUUAACAUCACAGGAGAACAUUCACACUGUAAUACAACAUAAACUCAACAGAACUAAUACCCAGAAUUCAUUGCAGCCCUGACUCUUCCGGGGUACAAUACACACACACACACACACACGCUACCCCCCACACGCCCCGCCCUCCCUACUUGCGUCGGUUGAGGUGUUGUAUAUUGUAGCCCCGCAAGGUGUUCUGGGUAUUUGGUCUCUUGUGUUUAAGUUGUGUUAGGGUGCGGAAAUUCUCCCAAAAUGAGUUGGUCAUUCUUGUUUGAUGUCGGUUCACAGUGUGGCGCAUAUUUGUAACAGUGUUAAAGUUGUUUAUACAGGCACCCUCAGCGUGACCUGUAUGGCUGUUGAACAAGUAUGCAUUAGAGCCACAUAUGUUGUUCUGCACAAGUCUCACACAACAAGAUAAGGAGCCGGCACAUUGGUGGAGCAGUAGUCCUCUAUAAGGGGGUGCACGGACCCCUGGAGAUACUUGAAUGAAAGCCAAGGUACAAGUGAGAUUUAUUCAAAAAAAUUUCAAAAAUAACAGCUAUUCAUAAAUCCGUUAAAAAUAUUUUUAUUGAAUAAUACCUCAAUGAAAUAUGAAUGUAAGUUCAUAAACUGUGAAAAAAUAAUACAGCAUUCAGUUUUGACAGUUAGACUUUUUAUGGACAUGUUCCAUAAAUAUUGAUGUUAAAGAUUUCUUUUUUUGUGAAGAAAUGUUUACAAUUAGGUUGAUGAAUCCAGAUGGAUCUCUAUUACAAUCCCCAAAGAGGGCACUUUAAGUUGAUGAUUACUUCUAUGUGUAGAAAUAUUUAUUUAUAACUGAAUCACUUGUUUAUUUUUCAACAAGUGUUCUAGUUAUUUUUAUAUCUUUUAUUCCAAAUAGUUCAAGAAAGACCACUACAAAUGAGCAAUAUUUUGCACUGUUAUACAAUUUAAUAAAUCAGAAACUGAUGACAUAGUGCUGUAUUUUACUUAUCUCUUUUUUUCAACCGAAAAAUAUUUUCUCUGAUUAGGGGGUACUUGAAUUAAAAAUAUGUUCACAUGGGGUACAUCACUGAAAAAAGGUUGACAACCACUGUUGUAGAGGACGUUUACGGCAGUGCAGUCACGGCAGCCCUUAAUAAUGUCGGUCGGGUGAAAAUUCGGGAGAAUGGUUGCACCGGUAGAUUGUCGGGAGGUGCAAAAUUGUGAGGGAUGGCAAGAAUGUGAAUAGAAGGUGAAUUCAUUAAAAACUGCAUGUUACAUUUUUGAAGAAAUAUUUUCUUGCGGCCCAGCCUCACCCAGUUUCUGCAUCCAUUGGCCCCCAGGUAAAUUGAGUUCGAGACCCCUGCCUUAGAAUAAACUUUAAGAUGCAAAACUUGAGAUUGCAAUUUAUUCCAAAAUUGAAAAAUUGGACUCCACUGAGUAUGCAAGUUUCCUGGUUUGGUGACCGCAGGAUUAGGUCUCUGCUUUUUGCAGAUGAUGUGGUCCUGAUGGCUUCAUCUGACCGGGAUCUUCCGCUCUCACUGGAUCGGUUUGCAGCCGAGUGUGAAGCGACCGGAAUGAGAAUCAGCACCUCCAAGUCCGAGUCCAUGGUUCUCGCCCGGAAAAGGGUGGAGUGCCAUCUCCGGGUUGGGGAGGAGACCCUGCCCCAAGUGGAGGAGUUCAAGUACCUAGGAGUCUUGUUCAUGAGUGAAUGCGGACGUUGUACCGAUCCGUUGUGGUGAAGAAGGAGCUGAGCCGGAAGGCAAAGCUCUCAAUUUACCGGUCGAUCUACGUUCCUACCCUCACCUACGGUCAUAAGCUUUGGGUCAUGACCGAAAGGAUAAGAUCACGGGUACAAGCGGCCGAAAUGAGUUUCCUCCGCCGUGUGGCGGGGCUCUCCCUUAGAGAUAGGGUGAGAAGCUCUGCCAUCCGGGAGGAACUCAAAGUAAAGCCGCUGCUCCUCCACAUCGAGAGGAGCCAGAUGAGGUGGUUCGGGCAUCUGGUCAGGAUGCCACCCGAACGCCUCCCUAGGGAGGUGUUUAGGGCACGUCCAACCGGUAGGAGGCCACGGGGAAGACCCAGGACACGUUGGCAAGACUAUGUCUCCCGGCUGGCCUGGGAACGCCUCGGGAUCCCCCGGGAAGAGCUAGACGAAGUGGCUGGGGAGAGGGAAGUCUGGGUUUCCCUGCUUAGGCUGUUGCCCCCGCGACCCGACCUCGGAUAAGCGGAAGAUGAUGGAUGGAUGGAUGGAUUAAAAACAAGCCGGUCUUAUGAACGACUCAUCGAAAGGAACAACUUCUUCCGUGUUAUUAGCAAUGAUACAAAAUGUGUGUUAUUACGAAGUGCUUUAACUGUCAACAAUCUAAAGCAUUUAUUAGUAUUAAUCUCUUCUGAUUUCUCUGAUAUUGUAACAUGAGGUGCACCGGGAAUUGAACUGAGCAAAUAAAGAAGAGUGGCCACAUAUCAUUGAGAAAGUCCUAACCAGCACCUCAUCUUCAAGCUAAUCACGUGACACGAUUCACUCAUCAUAGAAAUAAAUCCAAGGACGCGAGGGUGCAGCGUGACUACCACACGUUCAGAUGUCAACAAUGUUUGAACCUGACAACGAUCAGGGACGGAUUCAAGUUGCACCAGUGGCUAAAAGAUGCGAAAGUCCCUCGUUUGUUUUGCACACCGUACCGACGACAGCUAUGCUACGACAGAGAUGGCAAGAAUGUGUGGAUAUCCUGUGACACUCAAAGCAGAUGCAUUUCCAACGAUAAAGUCAACGAAAUCACAAAGGUGAGUUUUGUUGAUGUUAUUGACUUAUGUGGACAUAUUU